rnacentral:rRNA from 1 species
ACACGUAGGGGGCGAGCGUUGUCUGGAAUGAUUGGGCGUAAAGGGCGCGUAGGCGGCGCGGUAAGUCUGGAGUGAAAGUCCUGCUUUCAAGGUGGGAAUUGCUUUGGAUACUGUCGGGCUUGAGUGCAGGAGAGGUAAGUGGAAUUCCCAGUGUAGCGGUGAAAUGCGUAGAGAUUGGGAGGAACACCAGUGGCGAAGGCGACUUACUGGACUGUAACUGACGCUGAGGCGCGAAAGUGUGGGGAGCAAACAGGAUUAGAUACCCUGGUAGUCCACACUGUAAACGAUGAAUGCUAGGUGUAGGGGGUAUCGACCCCUUCUGUGCCGCAGUCAACACAAUAAGCAUUCCGCCUGGGGAGUACGGCCGCAAGGUUGAAACUCAAAGGAAUUGACGGG